rnacentral:rRNA from 1 species
ACUUAAAUUGAAGAGUUUGAUCAUGGCUCAGAUUGAACGCUGGCGGCAGGCCUAACACAUGCAAGUCGAGCGGUAGCACAGAGAGCUUGCUCUCGGGUGACGAGCGGCGGACGGGUGAGUAAUGUCUGGGAAACUGCCUGAUGGAGGGGGAUAACUACUGGAAACGGUAGCUAAUACCGCAUAAUGUCGCAAGACCAAAGUGGGGGACCUUCGGGCCUCAUGCCAUCAGAUGUGCCCAGAUGGGAUUAGCUAGUAGGUGGGGUAAUGGCUCACCUAGGCGACGAUCCCUAGCUGGUCUGAGAGGAUGACCAGCCACACUGGAACUGAGACACGGUCCAGACUCCUACGGGAGGCAGCAGUGGGGAAUAUUGCACAAUGGGCGCAAGCCUGAUGCAGCCAUGCCGCGUGUGUGAAGAAGGCCUUCGGGUUGUAAAGCACUUUCAGCGGGGAGGAAGGCGGUGAGGUUAAUAACCUCAUCGAUUGACGUUACCCGCAGAAGAAGCACCGGCUAACUCCGUGCCAGCAGCCGCGGUAAUACGGAGGGUGCAAGCGUUAAUCGGAAUUACUGGGCGUAAAGCGCACGCAGGCGGUCUGUCAAGUCGGAUGUGAAAUCCCCGGGCUCAACCUGGGAACUGCAUUCGAAACUGGCAGGCUAGAGUCUUGUAGAGGGGGGUAGAAUUCCAGGUGUAGCGGUGAAAUGCGUAGAGAUCUGGAGGAAUACCGGUGGCGAAGGCGGCCCCCUGGACAAAGACUGACGCUCAGGUGCGAAAGCGUGGGGAGCAAACAGGAUUAGAUACCCUGGUAGUCCACGCCGUAAACGAUGUCGAUUUGGAGGUUGUGCCCUUGAGGCGUGGCUUCCGGAGCUAACGCGUUAAAUCGACCGCCUGGGGAGUACGGCCGCAAGGUUAAAACUCAAAUGAAUUGACGGGGGCCCGCACAAGCGGUGGAGCAUGUGGUUUAAUUCGAUGCAACGCGAAGAACCUUACCUGGUCUUGACAUCCACAGAACUUUCCAGAGAUGGAUUGGUGCCUUCGGGAACUGUGAGACAGGUGCUGCAUGGCUGUCGUCAGCUCGUGUUGUGAAAUGUUGGGUUAAGUCCCGCAACGAGCGCAACCCUUAUCCUUUGUUGCCAGCGGUUAGGCCGGGAACUCAAAGGAGACUGCCAGUGAUAAACUGGAGGAAGGUGGGGAUGACGUCAAGUCAUCAUGGCCCUUACGACCAGGGCUACACACGUGCUACAAUGGCAUAUACAAAGAGAAGCGACCUCGCGAGAGCAAGCGGACCUCAUAAAGUAUGUCGUAGUCCGGAUUGGAGUCUGCAACUCGACUCCAUGAAGUCGGAAUCGCUAGUAAUCGUAGAUCAGAAUGCUACGGUGAAUACGUUCCCGGGCCUUGUACACACCGCCCGUCACACCAUGGGAGUGGGUUGCAAAAGAAGUAGGUAGCUUAACCUUCGGGAGGGCGCUUACCACUUUGUGAUUCAUGACUGGGGUGAAGUCGUAACAAGGUAACCGUAGGGGAACCUGCGGUUGGAUCACCUCCUUACCUUAAAGAA